rnacentral:rRNA from 1 species
CCUACGGGAGGCAGCAGUGAGGAAUAUUGGUCAAUGGGCGGGAGCCUGAACCAGCCAAGUCGCGUGAGGGAAGACGGUCCUAUGGAUUGUAAACCUCUUUAGGCGGGGAGCAAUGCCGGGCACGUGUGCCCGGAGGGAGGGUACCCGCAGAAUAAGCAUCGGCUAACUCCGUGCAAGCAGCCGCGGUAAUACGGAGGAUGCGAGGUUUAUCCGGAUUAUUUGGGUUUAAAGGGUGCGUAGGCGGAUUGUUAAGUCAGCGGUAAAAGGUCGGGGCUCAACCCGGGCCGGCCGUUGAAACUGGGGAUCUGGAGUGGGAGAGAAGUACGCGGAAUGCGCGGUGUAGCGGUGAAAUGCAUAGAUAUCACGCAGAACUCCGAUUGCGAAGGCAGCAUACCGGCGCCCGACUGACGCUGAGGCACGAAAGCGUGGGGAUCGAACAGGAUUAGAUACCCCAGUAGUC